rnacentral:lncRNA from 1 species
GUGGUCGGAUUGGUUUUAAUGUAAUUGUAAUCUCUACCAAAACCUGGGUUCGAUUCUUGGGAGUGAUAAAAGAGUAAAAAAUUGUAUUUGAGCUUGCUCACCCCUACCUUUAAAAAAAUAAAAAAUUGACUGAAAAAACUCAAGAAUGAAAGCUCCGUGGAGCAUCAAAAAGUGUAAGAAAUUUCCCCAUUUUACAGGAGGGAAUGUAUCAAUUGUUUAAUUAGC